rnacentral:SRP_RNA from 1 species
GCCAGGCAUGGUAGCUCAUGCCUGUAAUCCCAGAACUUUGGGAGGCCGAGGCAGGUGGAUCACCUGAGGUCAGGAGUUCGAGACCAGCCUGACCAACAUGGUGAAACCCCGCCUCUA